AUGAACGCUAGCUACAGGCUUAACACAUGCAAGUCGAGGGGCAGCAUGGUCUUAGCUUGCUAAGGCCGAUGGCGACCGGCGCACGGGUGAGUAACACGUAUCCAACCUGCCGUCUACUCUUGGACAGCCUUCUGAAAGGAAGAUUAAUACAAGAUGGCAUCAUGAGUCCGCAUGUUCACAUGAUUAAAGGUAUUCCGGUAGACGAUGGGGAUGCGUUCCAUUAGAUAGUAGGCGGGGUAACGGCCCACCUAGUCUUCGAUGGAUAGGGGUUCUGAGAGGAAGGUCCCCCACAUUGGAACUGAGACACGGUCCAAACUCCUACGGGAGGCAGCAGUGAGGAAUAUUGGUCAAUGGGCGAGAGCCUGAACCAGCCAAGUAGCGUGAAGGAUGACUGCCCUAUGGGUUGUAAACUUCUUUUAUAAAGGAAUAAAGUCGGGUAUGGAUACCCGUUUGCAUGUACUUUAUGAAUAAGGAUCGGCUAACUCCGUGCCAGCAGCCGCGGUAAUACGGAGGAUCCGAGCGUUAUCCGGAUUUAUUGGGUUUAAAGGGAGCGUAGAUGGAUGUUUAAGUCAGUUGUGAAAGUUUGCGGCUCAACCGUAAAAUUGCAGUUGAUACUGGAUAUCUUGAGUGCAGUUGAGGCAGGCGGAAUUCGUGGUGUAGCGGUGAAAUGCUUAGAUAUCACGAAGAACUCCGAUUGCGAAGGCAGCCUGCUAAGCUGCAACUGACAUUGAGGCUCGAAAGUGUGGGUAUCAAACAGGAUUAGAGAUCCUGGUAGACCACACGGUAAACGAUGAUUACUCGCUGUUUGCGCUAUACUGCAAGCGGUCAAGCGAAAGCGUUAAGUAUUCCAACUGGGGAGUACGACCGCAAGGUUGAAACUCAAAGGAAUUGACGGGGGCCCGCACAAGCAGUGGAGUAUGUGGUUUAAUUCGAAGCAACGCGAAGAACCUUACCAGGUCUUGACAUCCGAUGCAUAGCUUAGAGAUAAGUGAAGUCCUUCGGGACAUCGAGACAGGUGGUGCAUGGUUGUCGUCAGCUCGUGUCGUGAGAUGUUGGGUUAAGUCCCGCAACGAGCGCAACCCUUAUCCUUUGUUGCCAGCGGUCCGGCCGGGAACUCAAAGGAGACUGCCAGUGAUAAACUGGAGGAAGGUGGGGAUGACGUCAAAUCAGCACGGCCCUUACGUCCGGGGCUACACACGUGUUACAAUGGGGGGUACAGAGGGCCGCUACCACGCGAGUGGAUGCCAAUCCCCAAAACCUCUCUCAGUUCGGACUGGAGUCUGCAACCCGACUCCACGAAGCUGGAUUCGCUAGUAAUCGCGCAUCAGCCACGGCGCGGUGAAUACGUUCCCGGGCCUUGUACACACCGCCCGUCAAGCCAUGGGAGCCGGGGGUACCUGAAGUGCGUAACCGCGAGGAGCGCCCUAGGGUAAAACUGGUGACUGGGGCU
rnacentral:rRNA from 1 species